CCGUUGUAUUCUUCCGUAUCCCUUUCCGCCUCGUGUACUUCUGUAUCUCCUCCAAUCACGGAACAGUAAUAUACGUCGACCACCCCCAGUCCCCACCCUCGUGAAUCUCUCCAGAUCGAAGAGGAGGCGACCAAGUCAUCGCCGAGCCGCCGAAGAAACGGGCCUGGCGGCGGAGCAGAUGGUGGUUGAGGAGAUCCAGCAGCCUCCGCCAUAGAUCUCUGCCCUCCUUCACAGACCCACUACCUACUCUCGCUGGCAGAUGAAGACCACGCCGUAUCCCUCCUCCUGAAGCCUGGAAGGUCACAGGGAUCGCCUCCGCCCCCUCGCUCUAGCUGAGAAGAGCUCGCCGCGACCCUCCUCCUCAUCCUAGCGCGUCGGCGGUCGCUUGGGCAGAGCCGCACAGGUUGAUCUGACCAACUGACCGUCGGCACCCACCGGGGGUUUGAGGUUCUGCUGCCCUCCUUUUCUUGUAGCAAAUAUUUGAGGGUUAUGCAAUUUUGUUAUGGGAAAGUCCAUGACUAGUGCAUUCGCUUGAGCAAAAAUGAGACGAUAAGUGUACCAGUAAUUAUUGCUGCAUUUGAUUUAGCAAAAACUAGAUCAUAUAAUUAUUGUUGUAUCUGUGACGACCAGAAAUUUCACUCAGGGCUCGAGCAGGUCUCUAAUGGCUUUUUUGUCAUAAGUUUCGUUAAAAUCUGAGAUAAAUUCAUAUACACUAUGAACCAGGCUUCUGUUUCAAAGUAUAUCUAGAAUAGUGUUUUAUUGGAAACAACAAGUACGACAUUGGUGUGGAACCAAUGGAAAAUUUCUAAACUGAUUUUUAAUUUGUGCCAAAUUAAUGCAAAUUCUGUGAACUAUGAACCCCAUUUGAUUGAACAGGUAUGCCCCCAUGUUUUUUUUUUGUAUUAUAUGAUUUGAUAUAUACAAAUCAUGUUCUCCAUAAUUCAUAGUUGUUCCUUCCUACGACAAGCUAACAAACUAUUCUUCCCAAAUGCUGAAUAUUUACUUUUUUACAUCAACGAUGACUGUGGUUUCUUUGUCAUCCGACUCCUUGAAUGCUACAAUGAAAAAGAACUUGUUGGCAAUCACAAGAUAUACAUGUCUGUUUGCCGGACUGCAGUGUACGAUACUCUCAUCCACCACCGUCUGAAUGAUUUGAACCCGGUCAGAGCUGGCAGCUCUUUUCCGAAGAAUUGAACUCAUGGUUUCUCUUUUGUUAUGCCGAUGACUGAGCAUCAUGUUAUCUCACCUUGGAAAAUAUUAAGUAUAUCAAUGUAGCAGACAUCUCUAUUGUAUGUACGUGGACUGGUUAUCCAUUUCUCUCUGAGAUACUUUAGGAUAUUUGCAACAUACUAAAUGAAUCAGACUUGUAGUUGGUUUAAGCAUUCUUUAUUUCCCAACCUAGCAAAGUAGGAACGUACGUAUAUGCAAAUAUUUCUCUUAUGUUUCCUUUUUUUCUUUGGUGUAAUUACUUCUUGUAUCAUUAUAUAUUGAAUUAAAAUCGCAUCUGUUAUUGUCUCAUAGAUCCUUUUUAAUUUAGAUUUUCCAGGACUGUCCACCCCUUGAAGCCUCUACACCGGGGAAACAAUUGAAACCUCUACUGAAACAUGACCCGUCCUUGAUAGUAUUAAUAUGUUAUUGGUUAUUUUUUUAAAAUAUUUAUGUAAUAUAGUGAUAGGUUUGUGGAACUGGAAUGGAUGAAUUGUAUGUGGUCAGAAUUUCUGGUCAUCUUUUUAUAUAUUUUUUUAAUUUCCACUGGGACUCCAAGUGGAUCCUUUUGAUGAAA